GAUGAACGCUGGCGGCGUGCCUAAUACAUGCAAGUCGAGCGAACAGACGAGGAGCUUGCUCCUCUGACGUUAGCGGCGGACGGGUGAGUAACACGUGGAUAACCUACCUAUAAGACUGGGAUAACUUCGGGAAACCGGAGCUAAUACCGGAUAAUAUAUUGAACCGCAUGGUUCAAUAGUGAAAGACGGUUUUGCUGUCACUUAUAGAUGGAUCCGCGCCGCAUUAGCUAGUUGGUAAGGUAACGGCUUACCAAGGCAACGAUGCGUAGCCGACCUGAGAGGGUGAUCGGCCACACUGGAACUGGGACACGGUCCAGACUCCUACGGGAGGCAGCAGUAGGGAAUCUUCCGCAAUGGGCGAAAGCCUGACGGAGCAACGCCGCGUGAGUGAUGAAGGUCUUCGGAUCGUAAAACUCUGUUAUUAGGGAAGAACAAAUGUGUAAGUAACUAUGCACGUCUUGACGGUACCUAAUCAGGAAGCCACGGCUAACUACGUG
rnacentral:rRNA from 1 species